rnacentral:rRNA from 1 species
AAUCAACGCUGGCGGCGUGCCUAACACAUGCAAGUCGCACGAGAAAGUGGAGCAAUCCAUGAGUAAAGUGGCGCACGGGUGAGUAACACGUGAAUAAUCUACCUCCGAGUGGGGAAUAACUGAGAGAAAUCUUAGCUAAUACCGCAUAAUACCCACGGGUCAAAGCAGCAAUGCGCUUGGAGAGGAGUUCGCGGCCGAUUAGCUAGUUGGCGGGGUAAUGGCCCACCAAGGCGAUGAUCGGUAUCCGGCCUGAGAGGGCGCACGGACACACUGGAACUGAAACACGGUCCAGACUCCUACGGGAGGCAGCAGUGGGGAAUUUUGCGCAAUGGGGGAAACCCUGACGCAGCAACGCCGCGUGGAGGAUGAAAUCCCUUGGGAUGUAAACUCCUUUCGAUAGGGAAGAUAAUGACGGUACCUAUAGAAGAAGCCCCGGCUAACUUCGUGCCAGCAGCCGCGGUAAUACGAGGGGGGCAAGCGUUGUUCGGAAUUAUUGGGCGUAAAGGGUGCGUAGGCGGUUUGACAAGUCUAAUGUGAAAUCUAUGGGCUCAACCCAUAGUCUGCAUUGGAAACUGUCGGGCUUGAGUAUGGGAGAGGUGAGUGGAAUUUCCGGUGUAGCGGUGAAAUGCGUAGAUAUCGGAAGGAACACCUGUGGCGAAAGCGGCUCACUGGACCAUUACUGACGCUGAUGCACGAAAGCUAGGGGAGCAAACAGGAUUAGAUACCCUGGUAGUCCUAGCCCUAAACGAUGAUUGCUUGAUGUGGCAGGUACCCAAUCCUGCCGUGUCGAAGCUAACGCGAUAAGCAAUCCGCCUGGGGAGUACGGUCGCAAGGCUG